rnacentral:rRNA from 1 species
AUUGAACGCUGGCGGCAUGCUUUACACAUGCAAGUCGAACGGCAUCGCGGGCUUCGGCCUGGCGGCGAGUGGCGAACGGGUGAGUAAUGCAUCGGAACUUGCCCAGUCGUGGGGGAUAGCCCGCCGAAAGCCGGUUUAAUACCGCAUACGACCUGAGGGUGAAAGCGGGGGACCGACAUGCCUCGCGCUAUUGGAGCGGCCGAUGUCGGAUUAGCUAGUUGGUGGGGUAAAGGCUUACCAAGGCGACGAUCCGUAGCUGGUCUGAGAGGACGACCAGCCACACUGGGACUGAGACACGGCCCAGACUCCUACGGGAGGCAGCAGUGGGGAAUUUUGGACAAUGGGGGCAACACUGAUCCAGACAUGCCGCGUGCGGGAAGAAGGACUUCGGGUUGUAAAACGCUUUUGUUCGGGAAGAAAUCCUCUGGGCUAAUACCCCGGGGGGAUGACGGUACCGGAAGAAUAAGCACCGGCUAACUACGUG